GCCAAAAGUCUGGUGCGACUUGAACAAUUGAUAUUGUCACAAUGUAAAAUGAUGGCAGAAGUAGUAUCAAGUGAGGGGGGUACAAAAGCCGAGGAAAUUGUUUUUGACAAACUAAAGCUGCUGUCACUUGGUAAUUUAAAAAAUCUCACAAGCUUUAGCUCCGGUAAUUAUGUCCUCAAAUUUCCAGCUUUGGAAGAAUUGAUAGUUUGCAAAUGCCACAAUAUGAAGACUUUCUUUGAAGGAGUCUUAAGUGUACCAAUUUUACGAAAAGUAAAACAGCAACGACAUGACGAAUUAGGAUGCUGGGAGGGUGACCUUAAUACUACUAUUCAAUUUCUACACAGAAAAAAGUGAAUAUUCAGAGUUCUGGAAGGAUACAGAGCAAACUUCAAUGAAAUCUCUGGAAUAAGGCUCUUUUGUUUGUGGUUUGUGAGGCAUUAUUGCAGCUCAAGUUUCCUGUGUUGAGGUCAGAGCAAUUCUGGAAUCAUCCUUUCUGUCGCAAAGCUCUCUCCUGGCCAAGCAGCUUUUCGUUUCUUAGCAAGCUAUCAAAAUGGGAAGUUUGUGCUUGCAUACUGCAGGUUUCCUUGCGUUGAUUUAUUGGAACUUGCAAAGGCAUUUCUGUCCAAGGUCAAAUAUCAGAGCCAAGUUCCAAAUCAAUUUCAAUUGAUAUUUUUGUUUAUCUUGUCCAGCUUCUGGUUCCAGGUGUUCUGCUCCAGAAUAGAUUGUGGAUCCUCUGCUUCCUUGGUUCCCUGUAUCGUCCUGUCUUUCCAGAACCAACCUCUGCAAUUGCUUACCUGCUGUGCUUGUCAUGGGAUUAGUGCUGCUGUAAGUUUCUUCUGCAGGAUCCAAUCCCAGAUCUUCUCUACUUCUCUGCCCAGAUUUUCUGUCCUACUCUCCUGACUGUAGCAGCUCAACGUUUCUGCUUCCUGGUUUUCACUGCAAUAGAAGCUUGCCUUCCCUCUAAUGCAGUCUGUUCCAGAUUUUAUUCUUCUCCAGUGCUCCUGUCUGCAUGACUGAAUUUAUUCUUCCACUGCCUUCCUUCUACUGCUUGCAGGGUUCUACAAGAAAGCUGUCUGUGCAGUUCUCGGAAGAAGCAAGCACUACCAGUCUGCCUGCUACUUUGCCUUUCCUGAUUGUGCAGCAGUGCGGCCAUUUGGGUGAAAUCCUGCCAAUGUCCAAGCUGCCUGGGAUAGCGGCAUUGAUCACCUCAUCCUUGCAGUUCUAGGUUUUUUUUCCCAGGUGCAACAAUUAGACAGAAGCAGGCCUUGCUCUGCAGAUUUUCAGUCAGAAGCAGUUCUUGCCCAGGCCUUUCCAGAAUUUUUCCAGGUGCAGAAGCUGAUCAAAUUAGGUAAAUUUCGUGCUGGGCUUCUUUCUCCUGUUUCAGCUGCUGCUUCAACCAUCUGUGAGAUUGCAAUUUUUUUUCUGGAUGUUUGUUGCUCCUCCCUGGUCCUGCAGCAUUUUGCAUUAUGCAGGUGUAGGUCUGAGCGAUCUGAAUCCUGGAGGAUCUGGUUUGUUGCUGCCUUGGAAGAAAGCACCCUGCUGGUUUAGCCUCAAAAUUAAAGUUUUGUUUUUGUAUAGCAUAAACAAGUUGGUCUAGUCUGCACAUGUACUUGUAAAGUUUGGUGAUAAAAAAGUUUUUUUUGAUUUUUCUGUUAAUCUCUAUGGUGGUAAGAACUUUGAUAAGUUUUCAAAAGGGAAUAAUGUUUGUCU